rnacentral:pre_miRNA from 13 species
UCUCACCUGAACGCAUGACUCUUCAACCUCAGGACUUGCAGAAUCCUAAGGUUGUUGAGUUGUGUGUUUCUGGGC